GGAAUUGUUACCUGUUAAGUCACCAUGGUUUUGAAGAAAUCUUUUUUUUUUUCCAGGACACCUGAUCACUUCAUCGUUGGGUUCUGUGUUUGAAAACUGGGCCAGCUCUGAACCUGGGUGACAGAACACACUGUGGAGAAACCUUGUCUCUAGGAUCUUGCUCAUACACUCUUGGCUCCUCUUGCUCUGGUGGAGCUCCUCAGUGCCCACUGGGAAAGUGAUCUGGCUCCCAAGACCACCAGCCUGUUCAAGUCAUGGAUGGCACCAGUUUUCACAGGCUGAGUGAUUAGAAAACAGACUCUGGGACAGCUGUGUACAUAAGAGUCAUCUGGGCAUUGCUCUUACAAUCCCUGUAGAAGACAAGAGCUCAGAUUGACCCACCCGAAGUCCCUGGGAUUCACUUCUUCACCCUUCACACCUCGGCUUGCAGAAACAAGAUGCCACGUUUGACUUUAUGUGGUUGCUGGGAACAUGAAUUUGGGUCCUAGGGUUUACAAGUCAAGCACUUUACCCAUUGACCAUCUCCCUAGCCGUGUGA
rnacentral:lncRNA from 1 species